rnacentral:rRNA from 1 species
UACAGAGGGUGCAAGCGUUGUCCGGAAUUAUUGGGCGUAAAGCGCGUGUAGGCGGCUUUGCAAGUCGGGUGUGAAAGCCCCGGGCUCAACCUGGGAAGUGCACUCGAAACUGCUUGGCUGGAGUACUGGAGAGGGAAGCGGAAUUCUCGGUGUAGAGGUGAAAUUCGUAGAUAUCGAGAGGAACACCGGUGGCGAAGGCGGCCAACUGGACGAAUACUGACGCUGAGACUCGAAAGCGUGGGGAGCAAACAGG